GGUCAAGUGACUAAGUGCAUGUGGUGGAUGCCUUGGCGAUUACAGGCGACGAAGGACGUGAUAGCCUGCGAUAAGCUUCGGGGAGCUGGCAAAUUAGCUUUGAUCCGGAGAUUUCCGAAUGGGGAAACCCACUCCGCAAGGAGUAACUCUGACUGAAUACAUAGGUCAUUGUGGCGAACCGGGUGAACUGAAACAUCUCAGUAGCUCGAGGAAAAGACAUCAACCGAGAUUCCGAAAGUAGUGGCGAGCGAAAUCGGAGUAGCCCUCGCGUUUUAGCAGUUUGUAUAUCAGAACGGAAUG
rnacentral:ncRNA from 1 species